GAUGAACGCUGGCGGCGUGCCUAAUACAUGCAAGUCGAGCGGACGGACGAUAAGCUUGCUUCUCUGAUGUUAGCGGCGGACGGGUGAGUAACACGUGUAUCCCCUACCUAUCAUACUGGUAUCACUUCGAGACACCGGCGCUAAUACCGUAUAAUAUUUUGAUCCGCAUUGUUCAAAGGUGAAAGACGGUCUUGCUGUCUCUUCUAGAUGCAUCUGCGCUGCAUUAGCUAGUUGUGAAGGUAACGGCCUACCAAGGCAACGAUGCAUAGCCGAACUGAGAGGGUGAUCGGCCACACUGGAACGGGGACAGGGACAAGACUCCUAAGGGAGGGAGCAGUAGGGAACGUUACGCAAUGGGCGAAAACCUGGCGGAGUAAGGGGGCGGCAGAUACGAAGGUCUUGGGAUCGGAAAGACCGGUUAUUAGGGAAGAACAGAUGUGGAAGUAAAUGUGCACAUCGUGACGGUACCUAAUAAGAAAGCAACGGCUAACUACGUG
rnacentral:rRNA from 1 species